GCUCAGGACGAACGCUGGCGGCGCGCCUAACACAUGCAAGUCGAACGAGCGAGAGAGAGCUUGCUUUCUCGAGCGAGUGGCGAACGGGUGAGUAACGCGUGAGGAACCUGCCUCAAAGAGGGGGACAACAGUUGGAAACGACUGCUAAUACCGCAUAAGCCCACGGGUCGGCAUCGACCAGAGGGAAAAGGAGCAAUCCGCUUUGAGAUGGCCUCGCGUCCGAUUAGCUAGUUGGUGAGGUAACGGCCCACCAAGGCGACGAUCGGUAGCCGGACUGAGAGGUUGAACGGCCACAUUGGGACUGAGACACGGCCCAGACUCCUACGGGAGGCAGCAGUA
rnacentral:rRNA from 1 species